rnacentral:rRNA from 1 species
GUGAGGAAUAUUGGUCAAUGGGCGAGAGCCUGAACCAGCCAAGUCGCGUGAAGGAAGACGGCCCUACGGGUUGUAAACUUCUUUUGCAAUGGAAUAAAAAGAGUUACGUGUAAUUCAUUGUAUGUACAUUGCGAAUAAGGAUCGGCUAACUCCGUGCCAGCAGCCGCGGUAAUACGGAGGAUCCGAGCGUUAUCCGGAUUUAUUGGGUUUAAAGGGUGCGUAGGCGGAUUGGAAAGUCAGCGGUGAAAGUUUGCAGCUUAACUGUAAAAUUGCCAUUGAAACUGUCAGUCUUGAGUGCAAAUGAGGUAGGCGGAAUGUGUUGUGUAGCGGUGAAAUGCAUAGAUAUAACACAGAACACCAAUUGCGAAGGCAGCUCACUAAGGCGAUACUGACGCUGAGGCACGAAAGCGUGGGGAUCGAACAGGAUUAGAAACCCGUGUAGUCC